rnacentral:rRNA from 1 species
CCAACGGGCGGCAGCAGUGGGGAAUAUUGCACAAUGGGCGGAAGCCUGAUGCAGCAACGCCGCGUGAGGGAUGACGGCCUUCGGGUUGUAAACCUCUUUUAGCAGGGAAGAAGCGUGAGUGACGGUACCUGCAGAAAAAGCACCGGCUAACUACGUGCCAGCAGCCGCGGUAAUACGUAGGGUGCAAGCGUUAUCCGGAAUUAUUGGGCGUAAAGAGCUCGUAGGCGGUUUGUCGCGUCUGCUGUGAAAUCCCGAGGCGCAACCUCGGGCCUGCAGUGGGUACGGGCAGACUAGAGUGCGGUAGGGGAGAGUGGAAUUCCUGGUGUAGCGGUGGAAUGCGCAGAUAUCAGGAGGAACACCGAUGGCGAAGGCAGAUCUCUGGGCCGUAACUGACGCUGAGGGACGAAAGGGUGGGGAGCAAACA